UCAUAUGUAUAUAUAUUUAUAUCUAAGAACAUGUCGCUCAUAUUGCAUUGUUUGUUGAAUUAACUUCAUUUCAAACUCUAUAUAUUUUUUUGAUUUUCCAAACAUAUAUACA